rnacentral:rRNA from 1 species
GUAACAUAGUCAGCUUGCUGAUUGAUGACGAGUGGCGCACGGGUGCGUAACGCGUAUGCAACCUACCUUUAACUGGAAGAUAGCCCGAAGAAAUUCGGAUUAAUACUCCAUAAUAUAUGUCUUUCGCAUGUUAGACAUAUUAAAGCUUUGGCGGUUAAGGAUGGGCAUGCGUAACAUUAGCUAGUUGGUAAGGUAAUGGCUUACCAAGGCUACGAUGUUUAGGGGGCCUGAGAGGGUUAUCCCCCACACUGGAACUGAGACACGGUCCAGACUCCUACGGGAGGCAGCAGUGAGGAAUAUUGGUCAAUGGACGAAAGUCUGAACCAGCCAUGCCGCGUGCAGGAAGACGGCCCUACGGGUUGUAAACUGCUUUUAUACGGGAAUAAACCCUCGAACGUGUUCGAGGCUGAAGGUACCGUACGAAUAAGCACCGGCUAACUCCGUGCCAGCAGCCGCGGUAAU